rnacentral:rRNA from 1 species
GGCCCUUGACAUGUCUCGUUUGGUUUCCGGAGACGGAUUCCUUCAGUUCGGCUGGCGAGAACACAGGUGCUGCAUGGCUGUCGUCAGCUCGUGUCGUGAGAUGUUGGGUUAAGUCCCGCAACGAGCGCAACCCUCGUCCCUAGUUGCCAUCAUUCAGUUGGGCACUCUAGGGAGACUGCCGGUGAUAAGCCGGAGGAAGGUGGGGAUGACGUCAAGUCCUCAUGGCCCUUACGGGCCGGGCUA